rnacentral:rRNA from 1 species
AUACGUAGGGUGCAAGCGUUAAUCGGAAUUACUGGGCGUAAAGCGUGCGCAGGCGGUUUUGUAAGACAGAGGUGAAAUCCCCGGGCUCAACCUGGGAACUGCCUUUGUGACUGCAAGGCUUGAGUACGGCAGAGGGGGAUGGAAUUCCGCGUGUAGCAGUGAAAUGCGUAGAUAUGCGGAGGAACACCGAUGGCGAAGGCAAUCCCCUGGGCCUGUACUGACGCUCAUGCACGAAAGCGUGGGGAGCAAACAGGAUUAGAUACCCUGGUAGUCCACGCCCUAAACGAUGUCAACUGGUUGUUGGGUCUUCAUUGACUCAGUAACGAAGCUAACGCGUGAAGUUGACUGCCUGGGGAGUACGGCCGCAAGGUUGAAACUCAAAUGAAUUGACGGGG